rnacentral:snoRNA from 1 species
GUUUCUGAGGAUGAUUAUACAAUUAACUUUCGUUCUUCUGAUGUAAUCCAUGUAGAAACUGAGGCCUGAAUUGAAGAAGC